rnacentral:rRNA from 1 species
CGCGCGUUCCCNUUUUGUUGGUUCCUGAGAUCGCCNUAAUGAUUAAUAGGGAUAGUUGGGGGCAUUUGUAUUCCGUCNUCAGGGGUGAAAUUCUUGGAUUGCCGGAAGACAAACUACUGCGAAAGCAUUUGCCAAGGAUGUUUUCAUUGAUCAAGAACGAAGGAAGGGGGAUUGAAAACGAUUAGAUACCGUUGUAGUCUCUUCUGUAAACUAUGCCAAUUGGGGAUCGGCACAGGAUUUUUAAUGACUGUGUCGGCACCCGAAGAGAAAUCUUUAAAUGAGGUUCGGGGGGAGUAUGGUCGCAAGGCUGAAACUUGAAGGAAUUGACGGAAGGGCACCACCAGGUGUGGAGCCUGCGGCUUAAUUUGACUCAACACGGGGAAACUCACCAGGUCCAGACACAAUAAGGAUUGACAGAUUGAUAGCUCUUUCUUGACCUUGUGGUUGGUGGUGCAUGGCCGUUCUUAGUUGGUGGAGUGAUUUGUCUGGUUAAUUCCGAUAACGAACGAGACCUUAACCUGCUAAAUAGACCAGCCGGCUUUGGCUAGCUGCUGUCUUCUUAGAGGGACUAUCAGCGUUUAGCUGAUGGAAGUUUGAGGCAAUAACAGGUCUGUGAUGCCCUUAGAUGUUCUGGGCCGCACGCGCGCUACACUGACAGAGCCAGCGAGUCUACCACCUUUGCCGGAAGGCAUGGGUAAUCUUGUGAAACUCUGUCGUGU